CAGUCGCCGCGGUAAUACGAAGGGGGCUAGCGUUGCUCGGAAUGACUGGGCGCAAAGGGCGCGUAGGCGGCGAUCAAAGUCAGGCGUGAAAUUCCUGGGCUCAACCUGGGGGCUGCGUUUGAUACUUGAUUGCUAGAGUGGGGAAGAGGGUCGUGGAAUUCCCAGUGUAGAGGUGAAAUUCGUAGAUAUUGGGAAGAACACCGGUGGCGAAGGCGGCGACCUGGUCCUUGACUGACGCUGAGGCGCGAAAGCGUGGGGAGCAAACAGGAUUAGAUACCCCCGUAGUCCCUGUCUCUUAUAC
rnacentral:rRNA from 1 species